AUGGCACCGAAAGCGAAGGAAGCUCCUGCUCCUCCUAAAGCCGAAGCCAAAGCGAAGGCUUUAAAGGCCAAGAAGGCAGUGUUGAAAGGUGUCCGCAGCCACACGCAAAAAAGAGGAUCCGCAUGUCACUCACCUUCAGGCGGCCCAAGACACUGUGACUCCGGAGGCAGCCCAGAUAGCCUCAGAAGAGCACCCCCAGGAGAAACAAGCUUGGCCACUAUGCUAUCAUCAAGUUUCCGCUGACCACUGAGUCGGCCGUGAAGAAGAUAGAAGAAAACAACACGCUUGUGUUCACUGUGGAUGUUAAAGCCAACAAGCACCAGAUCAGACAGGCUGUGAAGAAGCUCUAUGACAGUGAUGUGGCCAAGGUCACCACCCUGAUUUGUCCUGAUAAAGAGAAGAAGGCAUAUGUUCGACUUGCUCCUGAUUAUGAUGCUUUCGAUGUUGUAACAAAAUUGGGAUCACCUAA
rnacentral:lncRNA from 1 species